rnacentral:rRNA from 1 species
UUAUCUGGUUGAUCCUGCCAGUAGUCAUACGCUCGUCUCAGAGAUUAAGCCAUGCAUGUGUAACUAUAAACCCCGCCUUUGAUACUGCGACUGGAUCAUUAUAUCAUUUAUAGUAUAUUCUCUGAAGAAUCCUAA